rnacentral:rRNA from 1 species
UACGGGGGGGGCAAGCGUUGUUCGGAAUUACUGGGCGUAAAGGGCUCGUAGGUGGCCAACUAAGUCGGACGUGAAAUCCCUCAGCUUAACUGGGGAACUGCGUCCGAUACUGGAUGGCUCGAGUUUGGGAGAGGGAUGCGGAAUUCCAGGUGUAGCGGUGAAAUGCGUAGAUAUCUGGAGGAACACCGGUGGCGAAGGCGGCAUCCUGGACCAACACUGACACUGAGGAGCGAAAGUGUGGGGAGCGAACAGG